UACAGAGGAUGCAAGCGUUAUCCGGAAUGAUUGGGCGUAAAGCGUCUGUAGGUGGCUUUUUAAGUCCGCCGUCAAAUCCCAGGGCUCAACUCUGGACAGGCGGUGGAAACUACCAAGCUGGAGUACGGUAGGGGCAGAGGGAAUUUCCGGUGGAGCGGUGAAAUGCGUAGAUAUCGAGAGGAACACCAGUGGCGAAGGCGAGUCCCUGGACAGAUCCUGACGCUGAGGCACGAAAGCUAGGGGAGCAAACAGG
rnacentral:rRNA from 1 species